UACGUAGGGGGCAAGCGUUGUCCGGAAUCAUUGGGCGUAAAGAGCGUGUAGGCGGCUUGGUAAGUCCGCUGUGAAAGUCCAGGGCUCAACCCUGGAAUGCCGGUGGAAACUGUCAAGCUUGAGUCCGGAAGAGGCGAGUGGAAUUCCUGGUGUAGCGGUGAAAUGCGCAGAUAUCGGGAGGAACACCAAUGGCGAAGGCAGCUCGCUGGGACGGUACUGACGCUGAGACGCGAAAGCGUGGGGAGCAAACAGG
rnacentral:rRNA from 1 species